UGGGGAAUUUUGGACAAUGGGCGCAAGCCUGAUCCAGCCAUGCCGCGUGUAUGAAGAAGGCCUUCGGGUUGUAAAGUACUUUUGUCAGGGAAGAAAAGCCUGAGGAUAACACCCUCAGGUCAUGACGGUACCUGAAGAAUAAGCACCGGCUAACUACGUGCCAGCAGCCGCGGUAAUACGUAGGGUGCGAGCGUUAAUCGGAAUUACUGGGCGUAAAGCGAGCGCAGACGGUUAUUUAAGCAAGAUGUGA
rnacentral:rRNA from 1 species